rnacentral:rRNA from 1 species
UAAUCGAUAAUCCGCGAAGUAUCUUACUUAUUUAAAAAUUUUGUAUACCGUUAUUAGUAGAUAAUUUUUAAAGAAUAAAAUAUUAAAAUUUCUCUAGAAAAUAUAUUAGAUCAAGGUGCAGAACAUAAAUAAGAAAAAAUGAAUUACAGUAAAUCUGGUUUAAAUGAAUAAUUACGUGAAACAGAAGUUUGAAGGUGGACUUAGUUGUAACUACUUUAUAAUAUGGGGUAGUGGAAAAAAUACUAAAACAUGUACAUAUCGCCCGUCGCUCGCGGGAAA